UACGUAGGGUGCAAGCGUUGUCCGGAAUUAUUGGGCGUAAAGAGCUCGUAGGCGGUUUGUUGCGUCGGCUGUGAAAUCCCGAGGCUCAACCUCGGGUCUGCAGUCGAUACGAGCAAACUAGAGUGUUGCAGGGGAGACUGGAAUUCCUGGUGUAGCGGUGAAAUGCGCAGAUAUCAGGAGGAAUACCGGUGGCGAAGGCGGCAUCCUGGACCAUUACUGACGCUGAGGCGCGAAAGCUAGGGGAGCAAACGGG
rnacentral:rRNA from 1 species